AUACGGAGGGAGCGAGCGUUAAUCGGAAUUACUGGGCGUAAAGCGCGCGUAGGCGGCUUUGUAAGUCGGAUGUGAAAGCCCUGGGCUCAACCUGGGAAUGGCAUUCGAUACUGCAGAACUAGAGUAUGGUAGAGGGAAGCGGAAUUCCGGGUGUAGCGGUGAAAUGCGUAGAUAUCCGGAGGAACACCAGUGGCGAAGGCGGCUUCCUGGACCAACACUGACACUGAGGCGCGAAAGCGUGGGGAGCAAACAGGAUUAGAAACCCGAGUAGUCC
rnacentral:rRNA from 1 species